UCAAUACCAAUAACAUUUACCAAUCAUGGCCUGAGAAAGGAAGCAUUAGGGCUUCUUCAUUAUCCAUUGUAUAUGUUGUCUUUUUUGGAAUUGCAACAAGGAAUUGAGUCCCAAGUAGUUAUAGGGGUUAUGUGACUCUAAGGGUUGUUGUACUAAUCAAAAAAGCUGUGGAAAUGAUUGAGUUUGAUGUGGCUCAACUGAUAUUUGAUUAGGUAGUUAGUCAUGCUGAGAGGUAC
rnacentral:lncRNA from 1 species